GACGAACGCUGGCGGCGUGCUUAACACAUGCAAGUCGAACGGUAAGGCCCUGCACUUGUGCGAUGCUCGAGUGGCGAACGGGUGAGUAACACGUGAGUAACCUGCCCUUUUCUUUGGGAUAACUUCAUUAAACUCGGGCUCAUACCCGAUAUGAGCUCCUUCUGCAUGGUUGGGGUUUUAGAGUUUCGGCGGUUGGGCAUGGACUCGCGGCUUAUCAGCUUGUUGGUGGGGUAGUGGCUUACCAAGUCUUUGACGGGUAGCCGGACUGGGAGGGUGACCGGCCACAUUGGGACAGGGAUACGGGCCAGAGUGCUACGGGAGGCAGCGGUGGGGGACAGUGCAAGAAGGGCGGAAGGCUGAUGGAGCAACGCCGCGUGCGGGAUGACGGCCUGCGGGUUGGAAACCGCGUGCGCCUGGGAAGAAGAGUGAGUGACGGUAAUGGGUAAAGAAGCAACGGCUAACUACGUG
rnacentral:rRNA from 1 species